AGUUUGAUCCUGGCUCUAGAUUGAACGCUGGCGGCAUGCCUUACACAUGCAAGUCGAACGGUAACAGAUCUUCGGAUGCUGACGAGUGGCGAACGGGUGAGUAAUACAUCGGAACGUGCCUAGUAGUGGGGGAUAACUACUCGAAAGAGUGGCUAAUACCGCAUGAGAUCUACGGAUGAAAGCAGGGGAUCGCAAGACCUUGUGCUACUAGAGCGGCCGAUGGCAGAUUAGGUAGUUGGUGGGAUAAAAGCUUACCAAGCCGACGAUCUGUAGCUGGUCUGAGAGGACGAUCAGCCACACUGGGACUGAGACACGGCCCAGACUCCUACGGGAGGCAGCAGUGGGGAAUUUUGGACAAUGGGCGCAAGCCUGAUCCAGCAAUGCCGCGUGCAGGAUGAAGGCCUUCGGGUUGUAAACUGCUUUUGUACGGAACGAAAAGCCCUGGGUUAAUACCCUGGGGUCAUGACGGUACCGUAAGAAUAAGCACCGGCUAACUACGUGCCAGCAGCCCGCGGUAAUACGUAGGGUGCGAGCGUUAAUCGGAAUUACUGGGCGUAAAGCGUGCGCAGGCGGUUUUGUA
rnacentral:rRNA from 1 species